rnacentral:rRNA from 1 species
GAGUUUGAUCGUGGCUCAGAACGAACGCUGGCGGCGUGGAUAAGACAUGCAAGUCGAACGGGAGAAUUGCUAGCUUGCUAAUAAUUCUCUAGCGGCGCACGGGUGAGUACACGUGAGUAACCUGCCCCGAGAGCGGGAUAGCCCUGGGAAACUGGGAUUAAUACCGCAUAGUAUCGGAAGAUUAAAGCAGCAAAUGCGCUUGGGGAUUGGGCUCGCGGCCUAUUAGUAGUU